UAUUACUGCACAGUUGAGACAACAAUCAAAUACUGUAGCCUUUGGAAUUCACAAUACAUCAAAGCAAUUAUGCAUAUGCUAUUUUUUUAAAACCACAAACAUGAAGUAUAUUGCAGGAAAUGCAUUUUAAAUUUAAAUGCAUCUGAUAUACAAUUCUCAAGGUUAUGUUAUCAAGGUUUCAGAUGAAUACUUUCAUUUACAGAACUCUGUUCACUGACAUAUGAAUUCAAAGAUAAUCAAAACGACUUCAGUGUGGUCAAAGACACAGCCAUUAAAAAUGAAGGCCACCAACAGGACAUUCAAUAUCUGGCCCCAUUUCAUAAAACAUUUUGUCAAUUACAAGUGUUAGAAAUCAUGAUAAUGACCAAUCAAAUGACAGGAUUUCAAAAUCUCACACUGGUUGCAUUUGUUUCUUUGAUAGCAAGCUUUAAUGAAAUAGAGCCCAGGAAGAAAUGAUGGAGCUCAAUACAGAAACCUGUUGCAUUAAAAGGACAAUUAUUACAACUUUGCCAUCCAAUGACUAUCACAGUCACUGUAAGUGUAAAUGGACUAUUAGGAGUCCCUGUAACAAGCAUCAAUACUGGAACAACAAGAAAACGUUUUCACAUGAUUCAUAACAUGAUAUUAUCAAUGUACACACAUAUCUUUCUUAAAGGACAAGUCCACUCCAACAAAAAGUUUAUUUGAAUACACAGAGAAAAACCUAACAAGCACGACACUCAAAAUUUCAUCCAAAUGGGUAUAAAAUGAGAAAAUCAUGAUAUUUUUCUAAUUUCGCUUCAUUUCACAAAACAA